rnacentral:rRNA from 1 species
AUACCUGUUUAUCCUGCAGGAGGUUGCUGCUAUCAGAAUCCGGCUAAGACAUGCAAGUAAUUGCCGCAAGGCAAUGCAGAUUGCUCAGUAACACGUCGAUAACGUAACGUGAAGUUCGGAAUAACCUUGGGAAACUGAGGAUAAUACCGAAUCGGGAACAAUGUGUGGAAUCCUAUUGUUCCAGAAAGCUCCGGCGCUUCACGAUCGGUCGGCGGCCCAUCAGGUAGUUGGUGAGGUAAUGGCUCACCAAGCCUAAGACGGGUAGGGGCCUUGAGAGAGGUUGCCCCGAGAGGGACACUGAGAUACUGGUCCCAGCCCUAAGGGGUGCAGCAGUCGCGAAAACUUCGCAAUGCACGGAAGUGUGACGAGGGGAUUCUGA